GACGAACGCUGGCGGCGUGCUUAACACAUGCAAGUCGAACGGAAAGGCCCUUCGGGGUACUCGAGUGGCGAACGGGUGAGUAACACGUGGGUGAUCUGCCCUGCACUUUGGGAUAAGCCUGGGAAACUGGGUCUAAUACCGAAUAUGAUCAUCGGCUUCUUGGUCGGUGGUGGAAAGCUUUUGCGGUGUGGGAUGGGCCCGCGGCCUAUCAGCUUGUUGGUGGGGUAAUGGCCUACCAAGGCGACGACGGGUAGCCGGCCUGAGAGGGUGACCGGCCACAAUGGGACUGAGAUACGGCCCAGACUCCUACGGGAGGCAGCAGUGGGGAAUAUUGCACAAUGGGCGCAAGCCUGAUGCAGCGACGCCGCGUGAGGGAUGACGGCCUUCGGGUUGUAAACCUCUUUCAGAACAGACGAAGCGCAAGUGACGGUAUGUGAAGAAGAAGGACCGGCCAACUACGUG
rnacentral:rRNA from 1 species